rnacentral:rRNA from 1 species
GAUGAACGCUGGCGGCGUGCCUAAUACAUGCAAGUCGAGCGAACGGACGAGAAGCUUGCUUCUCUGAUGUUAGCGGCGGACGGGUGAGUAACACGUGGAUAACCUACCUAUAAGACUGGGAUAACUUCGGGAAACCGGAGCUAAUACCGGAUAAUAUUUUGAACCGCAUGGUUCAAAAGUGAAAGACGGUCUUGCUGUCACUUAUAGAUGGAUCCGCGCUGCAUUAGCUAGUUGGUAAGGUAACGGCUUACCAAGGCAACGAUGCAUAGCCGACCUGAGAGGGUGAUCGGCCACACUGGAACUGAGACACGGUCCAGACUCCUACGGGAGGCAGCAGUAGGGAAUCUUCCGCAAUGGGCGAAAGCCUGACGGAGCAACGCCGCGUGAGUGAUGAAGGUCUUCGGAUCGUAAAACUCUGUUAUUAGGGAAGAACAUAUGUGUAAGUAACUGUGCACAUCUUGACGGUACCUAAUCAGAAAGCCACGGCUAACUACGUGCCAGCAGCCGCGGUAAUACGUAGGUGGCAAGCGUUAUCCGGAAUUAUUGGGCGUAAAGCGCGCGUAGGCGGUUUUUUAAGUCUGAUGUGAAAGCCCACGGCUCAACCGUGGAGGGUCAUUGGAAACUGGAAAACUUGAGUGCAGAAGAGGAAAGUGGAAUUCCAUGUGUAGCGGUGAAAUGCGCAGAGAUAUGGAGGAACACCAGUGGCGAAGGCGACUUUCUGGUCUGUAACUGACGCUGAUGUGCGAAAGCGUGGGGAUCGAACAGGAUUAGAUACCCUGGUAGUCCACGCCGUAAACGAUGAGUGCUAAGUGUUAGGGGGUUUCCGCCCCUUAGUGCUGCAGCUAACGCAUUAAGCACUCCGCCUGGGGAGUUCGACCGCAAGGUUGAAACUCAAAGGAAUUGACGGGGACCCGCACAAGCGGUGGAGCAUGUGGUUUAAUUCGAAGCAACGCGAAGAACCUUACCAAAUCUUGACAUCCUUUGACAACUCUAGAGAUAGAGCCUUCCCCUUCGGGGGACAAAGUGACAGGUGGUGCAUGGUUGUCGUCAGCUCGUGUCGUGAGGUGUUGGGUUAAGUCCCGCAACGAGCGCAACCCUUAAGCUUAGUUGCCAUCAUUAAGUUGGGCACUCUAAGUUGACUGCCGGUGACAAACCGGAGGAGGGUGGGGAUGACGUCAAAUCAUCAUGCCCCUUAUGAUUUGGGCUACACACGUGCUACAAUGGACAAUACAAAGGGCAGCGAAACCGCGAGGUCAAGCAAAUCCCAUAAAGUUGUUCUCAGUUCGGAUUGUAGUCUGCAACUCGACUACAUGAAGCUGGAAUCGCUAGUAAUCGUAGAUCAGCAUGCUACGGUGAAUACGUUCCCGGGUCU